AGCGAACGUUAGCGGCAGGCCUAACACAUGCAAGUCGCACGAGAAUCUGGCUUCGGCCAGUAGUAAAGUGGCGGACGGGUGAGUAACACGUGGAUAACCUGCCCUUCGGCGGGGGGCAACAGUCCGAAAGGAUUGCUAAUACCGCAUACGUCAGCGAGGUCCUCGGACCUCGUUUGGAAAGAUGGCCUCUCCAUGGACGCUAUCACAGGAGGAUGAGUCCGGGGCCCAUCAGCAAGUUGGCGGUGUAAGAGACCACCAAGGCCAAGACGGGUAGCUGGUCUGAAAGGAUGAUCAGCCACACUGGAACUGAGACACGGUCCAGACUCCUACGGGAGGCAGCAGUGGGGAAUAUUGGGCAAUGGGCGCAAGCCUGACCCAGCCAUGCCGCGUGAGUGAUGAAGGCCUUCGGGUCGUAAAGCUCUGUGGGGAGGGAAGAAACCCCCCGUAGCUAAUAUCUACGGGGCUUGACGGUACCUCCUUAGCAAGCACCGGCUAACUCCGUGCCAGCCGCCGCGGUAACAC
rnacentral:rRNA from 1 species